UAGAUUUUGAGUAGAGUAUAGAUGCCUCCAUUGGUUAUUUCAAUGGAGUCUUCAUUAACAGCCAUUCCCUUGUUCAUCAAGCCCUCGUCCAGAAUGGAGCCAUCUUUGCCUCCAUUGGUUAUUUUAGUGGACUCCAUUGGUUUGUGAAGGUUGGUUACACUUAACUGGGUCUUUCCUCUUAAGUAUUUCAAUGUUUGCUAUUGCUUUCCCCUGAAACGGUGGAUUUCGAGAGAAGCAACCGCGACGAACAGCUUUUAAAAGAGAUCAUUUGAGCGGGAGUUUCGAAGAUGAACUUUGUUUCUUGGAGUGGGAUUUUGCAAGUACGAAAUAGGUGAUUCAAAUUUUAGAAGCGAGAAUAACGAGGUGCUUCGCUAUGUAAGGAACAGAAGAGAUUUAUCAAACAAGCAAUCGAGUCAAAGUACUCUCUUGUCGCUGCUCAACUCUGUUACGUUCAGUCUCUCCUAAACAUUGGUAUUACUCUUUGAUGAUACGCAGAGGCUGAGGUCUUUAUCACUGAUUGAGAGUUUGAAGAGUCGAUAGUUUCGAUUGCAGUAGAGAUUUUUCUUUUCAUCUUAUGCAAUGUAAGUGAUAUCAUGUCGUUUACCAAAGUGCUUCCAAGGAUUUACUCUUCUGUGAGUAUCUAAAUCUGAAAUCGGUAAAAAAUAUGAAUUAUUUCUUUCAAAUUCCUUUGUCAUUGUUGCGAAUAAAGAGAAAUUUUUCUAAUUCCCGUUCUCUCUCUCACAGUUCUCUUCUUCAUUCACUUCACUACCACACUCCCUGGACUUGUCUUGGACCGAAUCCAAUCUCUAAUAUUUGAGAGCAAUAAUGUUGGCACAACUCUAGCACUGAGCAACAACGACCAAACCCACUCUUGAAACAAUGAUUGGAAGUCGGACAUCUCUGUAACUUUGUCGACAUUCUGAAAGAUGUCAGAAAUAUGAAAUAUUUCUCUCAAAUUCUUUGUCAUUAUCAAUAUUUAAGCAGAAGAUACUAUGAAAUUUCUCAAUUUGUAGGAUAGACUAUUACUUUUUUUUUUCUAUGAAUCUUUAUUUUUUUUGGCAUUGAGGGUCUCAUGAUCUUAUCAACUAUAAAGGCAUUGAAGGUUACUUUAUUUUUUUCUAAUGAUUUUUUAUGAAUAUUUAUUUAGCCAAUUCAACCAUAUUUUGCCAUAUUAUCUGACUACUUAUUUUGAUAUUUAUGCUCAUUGCAGCAGCUCCUUAUAAUGCUCUAAUUAGCUAUCCCUUGUUUCAAUGGCAAUUUAAGGAGAAGAAGGUACGGUGAUGUUGCUCAAGGUUUUCCUGUAAAGUAGCCUAACGACCCGUUUGUGUUUUGAAUUGUAGUAAUUUUUCUUGUGAUUUCAGUUUUAUAAAUUAUUCUAUAUACUUUGGGAAAAUGUUGGGUAUGCCGCCGAUAUCAAGUAUGUUAGCACCCAUUGUGUUUAUCUCUCUAUUCUCUUUUUUCUGAAAUGGCCCUUAUAUCCUUCCUGAAUUAUACUUCAUCGUGUGAUCCUAUUGGUGCUAUCCGCUAGCAUACUUGAUAUUGGCGGCAUACCUAUCCUUCUCCUAUAUACUUUAUAUUAAAUAAAAAAUUAUAGAACGAAUGAUUUUGGUUUUAA